CAAUAGCGUAUAUUAAAGUUGUUGCGGUUAAAAAGCUCGUAGUUGGAUUUCUGUUGGGAACGACCGGUCCGCCCAUUGGGUGUGUAUCUGGCUUGUUCUCGGCAUCUUCUUGGUGAACGUUGCUGCACUUGACUGUGUGGAGCGCUACCCAGGACUUUUACUUUGAGGAAAUUAGAGUGUUUCAAGCAGGCAUAUGCCUUGAAUACAUCAGCAUGGAAUAAUAAGAUAGGACCUCGGUUCUAUUUUGUUGGUUUCUAGAGCUGAGGUAAUGAUUAAUAGGGAUAGUUGGGGGCAUUCGUAUUUAACUGUCAGAGGUGAAAUUCUUGGAUUUGUUAAAGAUGGACUACUGCGAAAGCAUUUGCCAAGGACGUUUUCAUUGA
rnacentral:rRNA from 1 species